UAAUUGGAAAGGAUUAAAUGGUACUUAAUGGUAGAACUUGAUGAUAAUCGAAAACCUCCUUGAAUUGGUAGCAACCAUCUUAUCUAAUUAUAAACUUCUUCCAUGAUUAUUGGAGCAAUGAUAUUAAUAUUUGGAAUUUAUGGAAAAUGGAUGAGUCAGCAUGUAGGUUUUGAAUUUUGAAAUACGGAUUCUAAAUUGGGAUAGUAGUAAAUUUGAAUAUGUGGAUUCUUGUAUCAGAAGACUUAAUACUUGGUUUGUGUAUGAGCGUCUUAUUG
rnacentral:lncRNA from 1 species